AUUGAACGCUGGCGGCGUGCUUAACACAUGCAAGUCGAUCGGUAACGCGGGGGCAACCCUGGCGACGAGAGGCGGACGGGUGAGGAACGCUUGGGAAUCUGCCUAUCAGCGGGGGACAACACGGGGAAACUCGUGCUAAUACCGCAUCAGCUCUACGGAGGAAAGCCGGGGACCGCAAGGCCUGGCACUGAUAGAUGAGCCCAAGCCGGAUUAGCUAGUUGGCGGGGUAACGGCCCACCAAGGCGACGAUCCGUAGCUGGUCUGAGAGGACGAUCAGCCACACUGGAACUGAGACACGGUCCAGACUCCUACGGGAGGCAGCAGUGGGGAAUAUUGGACAAUGGGGGAAACCCUGAUCCAGCGACGCCGCGUGGGUGAAGAAGGCCUGCGGGUUGUAAAGCCCUUUCGGUAGGGACGAAAGCUCUCGGCCUAACACGUCGGGAGGUUGACUUAACCUACAAAAGAAGCACCGGCUAACUCUGUGCCAGCCGCCGCUGUAACAC
rnacentral:rRNA from 1 species